rnacentral:rRNA from 1 species
CAUCCCAGCUCGGAUCGCAGGCUGCAACCCGCCUGCGUGAAGUUGGAAUCGCUAGUAAUCGCGGAUCAGCAUGCCGCGGUGAAUACGUUCCCGGGCCUUGUACACACCGCCCGUCACACCAUGAGAGUCGGGAACACCCGAAGUCCGUAGCCUAACCGCAAGGAGGGCGCGGCCGAAGGUGGGUCCGAUAAUUGGGGUGAAGUCGUAACAAGGUAGC